UACGAAGGGGGCUAGCGUUGUUCGGAAUUACUGGGCGUAAAGGGCGCGCAGGCGGCUGCUCAAGUCAGGCGUGAAAGGCCUGGGCUCAACCCAGGAAUUGCGCUUGAGACUGGGCUGGCUUGAGUGCGGGAGAGGAUGGUGGAAUUCCCAGUGUAGAGGUGAAAUUCGUAGAUAUUGGGAAGAACACCGGUGGCGAAGGCGGCCAUCUGGACCGCAACUGACGCUGAGGCGCGAAAGCGUGGGGAGCAAACAGG
rnacentral:rRNA from 1 species